rnacentral:rRNA from 1 species
GGGCCCGCACAAGCGGUGGAGUAUGUGGUUUAAUUCGAUGCAACGCGAAGAACCUUACCAGGGUUUGACAUCCUGCGAAUCUCUUGGAAACAGGAGAGUGCCUUCGGGAACGCAGUGACAGGUGGUGCAUGGCUGUCGUCAGCUCGUGUCGUGAGAUGUUGGGUUAAGUCCCGCAACGAGCGCAACCCACGUCUUUAGUUGCCAGCAUUUAGUUGGGCACUCUAGAGAGACUGCCGGUGAUAAACCGGAGGAAGGUGUGGAUGACGUCAAGUCAUCAUGGCCCUUAUGGACUGGGCUACACACGUGCUACAAUGGCGGUGACAAUGGGCAGCGAAAGGGCGACCUUGAGCAAAUCCCAUAAACCGUGGCUCAGUUCAGAUCGUAGGCUGCAACUCGCCUACGUGAAGGCGGAAUCGCUAGUAAUCGCAGGU